UUUACAUGUUUACAUUUCCUGGACUAGUUCACAAAAUUGGUCUACAACUAUCUAACAACAUAAAUAUAUGUAUCUGCCUACAUAUAUAAACUCUCAUAAUCUGUUCAACAGAUCAAUGAAGGUGUCUUCUUUGCAUGGAAUUGUGAGGCCCCCUUCUGGAUGAGUAAACCCAAAUUCUUCCUCAGCUUGACAUAACAGGUCUUGAAAUGUAGGCUCAUUUAAGUAAGAGAUUGGAACUACAAAUCUUCUUCUUUGGUUCUCCCCAACAUAAACUGCCAUGCAUCCCUUGGGGAUAUUUGUAUUACGAUCAAGAUUUGUUGAGGAAAAUUGUCGGUUGAGAAUUUGCUUGAGAUUAGUGAUACGAGGCACGCGGAUACCCAUGAAUCUGACAAAAAAAGAAGCUUUCAGGGUAAACUUUGGGGAUAUGAAAAUACAAGGACUUCUGCAGAUUGAUCAAAUGAUUUUGACACAAGAUUACACUCAAUUUUAUAAUAAAUUUAUUUAAGUCUCCAAUGGUGUUUAUAUAGAACUGAUAGAAUGUAUUGGUGGUUGAUCAAAAUGCAGAUUGAGUGGCAUCUGCACAUGCUAUUCUCUUUCAAUGGCCACACAUGUUUAAGACUAAUGUUAGGACUUAAAUGUCUGUGAAAGACAUCAUGUCCUACUAUUUGUUUUGAACAAAUCUCAACCUGAAAUUUUCUUAUCUGUAUUUAUGCUUUAUGAUUAUGGUGGAGAUGCAUAUAAUAUGUAGUGAAGAUGAACCACAUGCAUCUAAAAGCUGGAAACUUCAAAUGUCAUGUUAUUAGUUCUUGUGGUCAAUAGUUUUAAGUUAGGUGCUCAUGUGAUGGUGUUUUUAUUACAUAAUCCCAGCUGCUUCUUUUGCUGAAUUGAUGUACCUUGUACUAGAAAACGCCAGCUGAUUUAACUUGUCAUAUUUAAUUAUCCUGAAUAAAAGGGUAAAUUUCCUCUAAGAAACAAACUAUCAGAUUAAAUGGUUGCGAUUCUGUCAAGUUGUAGCUGCAUUAUGUGAAAAUAUCAUAUCUGGAAUAAGGAAGGUAUACUAUCUGUAGGUGAUAAAAACAACGCCAAUGAACACUUAGUAUGUCAUCCCCACCAAAACAAUUUACGACAAUUUAAAAACGUAGAAAUUAUAUCCUGCAUGCCUCCCAAAUAAACUUAGUAUGAAACACUUAGAAUGUAGGGCAGCAUAUGUUCUUCAGAAUUUAUAUAUACCACUUAGAAUGCAGAUUGAGUGGCACAGAUGCACACUAUUAAAGACAAACUCAUAACAUAAAAUCUAUAUCCUGCCUGCUAGAUAGAUCUUUGGUGGAGUCUUUAGCUAUGGAGUAGUUAUGUCUGCAACCCACAUAUGUCUUCCUUUUAGUUUGAUUUUUUUUGUUCACACAUAUGACAAUUGUAGGAAACCGUCUAUUCUUCAGCAAUCGUAUACCAGGUCAAGAUCUGACAUUGGGUCGAGAUUUCUUAAGCAGGCAUAGUCGGAAUUGAUGUUUCCCACCACACUUAUAUACCAUGUUAUAAGUCAUAAAUACAUGUAGCUACUGAAAGACAAGAUCAUGUGUUUAGUGUCUAAUGCCUCACCACUCAAUGUGCAAUAUGAUGAGAUCUUUUAUACAACUUUCUUCUUGCUCUAUAUAAACACUUAACUAAGCGUUACUAAAAUUCAUCACAAACUCACUUGUCUAAGUCUAAAGCCUGAACUACAAAAAUAUAUACAGGUCCUAGUGUUUUCUCAGUUUCUCUGAACUCUUAUCUGAAAGAUCUAUAGCAUCAUGGGUAUCCGUAUGCCUCGUAUUACUAAUCUUAAGCAGAUCCUUAACAGGUCGUCAUUCUUAUUGAAUCCUGAUCUCGCGUCAACAAUUCCAAAGGGGUGCUUGGCAGUUUAUAUUGGCGAGAGGCAAAGAAGCCGAUUUGUGGUACCCAUUUCAAUCCUGAAUGAGCCUGCCUUUCAAGGUUUGUUAAGUCAAGCCGAGGAAGAAUUUGGAUUCAAUCAUCCUGAAGGUGGUCUUACAAUUCCUUGCUCAGUGGACACAUUCAUUAAUCUCACGUCAUGCCUGAACAAUUUCUAAUAGUGUUUUUUUUAUAUACUUUUAGAUAGUAUACCACCUCCGAUCUCAUUUGAUGAGCUUCUGAGUGUACAUUGUAGAACAGAGAUCUCUUCAUACAAACUUUGUAGGGAGCCCAUAAUUUGACACUCAAUUGAUUUUGAUCAUAUUGAUUUCUCUUAUUCUCAUAACUGGAUACUUUUUAUUUAUAUAAGCACAUAGAUAAGCAGUGGUUGAAAUCAUCACAAUUUUAAUUGUCUAAAGCCUUAUUCAUACAACAUACAACUUUACCUAGUAUUACUAAUCUUGAUAAAUCCUGAUUAUACUCUAACAAUUCCAAAAGGGUUGGUUAGCAUACCUGAAUGAACCCUGCCUUUCAAGACUUAUCAAGUUAACCCGAGGAAGAAUAUGGAUUCCAUCAUCCGGAAGGUGGCCUCAAAAUUCCCUGCACAGAGGACACGUUCCUUGACCUCACUUGGCGCCUACAAAAUUAUAUUGAAAAACAGUUUAUUUAAUCGUUAAAUAGCAUAGCAUCUCCAAACAUAUUUACUUAGCUUAAAAAUGUGUACAGUAGCAUAGAGAUUUUUAAAUUGCAUUAUAUAAGCGAGAUAUAAUAGUCAGAUACUCGAUUUGCACCAAGACACAUUGAUUACGGUUUCUGUUGAUACUGUUUCUAUCUAACAAAUUUUUAUCUGAAAACAAAUUACUAACUCUCUCAAAGAUAAGAAUUGUUCUUGGAACAUAUCCGUAAUAUACAAAACCUACAAAAAAAACCAACUAAAUAUGCCAAGGUAUAGCAGUCUAAGAGCCUGUUUGUCCAGGCUUCAAGCUGGGACUUUAAACUGUUUCUAAUUUUAAGCUGAAAAAUGUAUGUUUGUGUAAUAAGUUAGAAGCCGACUUAAAGUCAGAAUUAAGCCAGAAACUGACUCAAAGCCAGAAGUUAGUUUGAUGUACUUUUUAAAUCCUAAUCUUACCUCAACGAUUCCAAAGGGGUGCUUGGCAGUUUAUAUUGUGGAGAGGCAAAGAAGCCGAUUUGUAGUACCCAUUUCAUACCUGAAUGAGCCUGCCUUUCAAUAUUUGUUAAGUCAAGCCGAGGAAGAAUUUGGAUUUAAUCAUCCGGAAGGAGGUCUUACAAUUCCUUGCUCAGUGGACACAUUCAUUGAUCUCACUUCGCGCCUGAGAAAUUUAAAAUGGAAAACAAUUUGUGUAUUUUUAGAUGUUAGAGCAACUGUGAUCUCAUACGAUGAGCAUCUGAGUGUCAAUUGUAGAACAGAGGUUUUUCAUAUAAGUUAUGUAGGAAAAGCAUAAGUUGAUACUCAGUUUUUUGAAUGUAUUGACCAUCAGUUAUUCUCAAAGAUGCUUUUUAUAUUGAACCUGUUAUUAUUCCUAAAUCAAAUCACUAAGUUCCUUGUGAAGUUACGAUACUUUCCCCCCAAAUACAUCCCUACAUAUAUCAACACAGCCAUUUUUUAUAUUACUAUAACAUUUGCUUCUAACAAUGUGUAUUAUCUCUAGUGUUAUUACAAGUACUCUGAGCUAGUGUAUAUAUAUGAGAUUAGAACCAGUUAUACAAAACAUCUCCAUGAAAGACUAGUUUCAAGAAUAAAUCCAUGUAGAUAUUGUUGUCUUGAAUUACAAAGUAUCAGCCAAUUCCCUGCCUAAAGAUUUACAUGUUUAUAUUACCUGGACUAGUUCACAAAAUUGGUAUACAACUAUCUAACAACAUAAAAAUAUGUAUCUGCCUACAUAUAUAAACUCUCAUAUUCUAUUCAACAGAUCAAUGAAGGUGUCUUCUUUGCAUGGAAUCGUGAGGCCUCCUUCUGGAUGACUAAACCCAAAUUCUUCCUCAGCUUGACUUAACAGGUCUUGGAACGUAGGCUCAUUUAAGUAAGAGAUCGGAACUACAAAUCUUCUUCUUUGGUUCUCCCCAACAUAAACUGCCAUGCAUCCCUUAGGGACAUUUGUACUACGAUCAAGAUUUGUUGAGGAGAAUUGGCGGUUAAGCAUUUGCUUGAGACUAGUGAUACGAGGAACAUGGAUACCCAUGAAUUUGACAAAAAAAAUGAAAUUUUCCGGGUAAACUUUGGGGAUAUGAAAAUACAAGGACUUCUGCAGAUUGAUCAAAUGGUUUUGACACUAGAUUACACUCAAGUUUAUAAUGACUUUGGUUAAGUUUCCAAUGGUGUUUAUAUAGAACUGAUUGAAUGUAUUGGCCGUUGAUCAAAAUGCAGAUUGAGUGGCACAGAUGCAUUAGGCAUCAGCACAUGCUAUUCUCUUUCACUGGCCACAUAUGUUUAAGACUAAUGUUAGGAAUUAUAUGUCUGUUAAGAGACAUCAUGUCCUACAAUUUGUUUUGAACAAAUCUCAACCUGAUAUUUAUGCUUUAUGAUAUGAGAGUUCAUACAUAUAAUAUGCAGUGAGACGAACCACAUGCAUCUAAAAGCUGGAAACUUCAAAUGUCAUGUUAUUANCUUCAUACAAACUUUGUAGGGAGCCCAUAAUUUGACACUCAAUUGAUUUUGAUCAUAUUGAUUUCUCUUAUUCUCAUAACUGGAUACUUUUUAUUUAUAUAAGCACAUAGAUAAGCAGUGGUUGAAAUCAUCACAAUUUUAAUUGUCUAAAGCCUUAUUCAUACAACAUACAACUUUACCUAGUAUUACUAAUCUUGAUAAAUCCUGAUUAUACUCUAACAAUUCCAAAAGGGUUGGUUAGCAUACCUGAAUGAACCCUGCCUUUCAAGACUUAUCAAGUUAACCCGAGGAAGAAUAUGGAUUCCAUCAUCCGGAAGGUGGCCUCAAAAUUCCCUGCACAGAGGACACGUUCCUUGACCUCACUUGGCGCCUACAAAAUUAUAUUGAAAAACAGUUUAUUUAAUCGUUAAAUAGCAUAGCAUCUCCAAACAUAUUUACUUAGCUUAAAAAUGUGUACAGUAGCAUAGAGAUUUUUAAAUUGCAUUAUAUAAGCGAGAUAUAAUAGUCAGAUACUCGAUUUGCACCAAGACACAUUGAUUACGGUUUCUGUUGAUACUGUUUCUAUCUAACAAAUUUUUAUCUGAAAACAAAUUACUAACUCUCUCAAAGAUAAGAAUUGUUCUUGGAACAUAUCCGUAAUAUACAAAACCUACAAAAAAAACCAACUAAAUAUGCCAAGGUAUAGCAGUCUAAGAGCCUGUUUGUCCAGGCUUCAAGCUGGGACUUUAAACUGUUUCUAAUUUUAAGCUGAAAAAUGUAUGUUUGUGUAAUAAGUUAGAAGCCGACUUAAAGUCAGAAUUAAGCCAGAAACUGACUCAAAGCCAGAAGUUAGUUUGAUGUACUUUUUAAAUCCUAAUCUUACCUCAACGAUUCCAAAGGGGUGCUUGGCAGUUUAUAUUGUGGAGAGGCAAAGAAGCCGAUUUGUAGUACCCAUUUCAUACCUGAAUGAGCCUGCCUUUCAAUAUUUGUUAAGUCAAGCCGAGGAAGAAUUUGGAUUUAAUCAUCCGGAAGGAGGUCUUACAAUUCCUUGCUCAGUGGACACAUUCAUUGAUCUCACUUCGCGCCUGAGAAAUUUAAAAUGGAAAACAAUUUGUGUAUUUUUAGAUGUUAGAGCAACUGUGAUCUCAUACGAUGAGCAUCUGAGUGUCAAUUGUAGAACAGAGGUUUUUCAUAUAAGUUAUGUAGGAAAAGCAUAAGUUGAUACUCAGUUUUUUGAAUGUAUUGACCAUCAGUUAUUCUCAAAGAUGCUUUUUAUAUUGAACCUGUUAUUAUUCCUAAAUCAAAUCACUAAGUUCCUUGUGAAGUUACGAUACUUUCCCCCCAAAUACAUCCCUACAUAUAUCAACACAGCCAUUUUUUAUAUUACUAUAACAUUUGCUUCUAACAAUGUGUAUUAUCUCUAGUGUUAUUACAAGUACUCUGAGCUAGUGUAUAUAUAUGAGAUUAGAACCAGUUAUACAAAACAUCUCCAUGAAAGACUAGUUUCAAGAAUAAAUCCAUGUAGAUAUUGUUGUCUUGAAUUACAAAGUAUCAGCCAAUUCCCUGCCUAAAGAUUUACAUGUUUAUAUUACCUGGACUAGUUCACAAAAUUGGUAUACAACUAUCUAACAACAUAAAAAUAUGUAUCUGCCUACAUAUAUAAACUCUCAUAUUCUAUUCAACAGAUCAAUGAAGGUGUCUUCUUUGCAUGGAAUCGUGAGGCCUCCUUCUGGAUGACUAAACCCAAAUUCUUCCUCAGCUUGACUUAACAGGUCUUGGAACGUAGGCUCAUUUAAGUAAGAGAUCGGAACUACAAAUCUUCUUCUUUGGUUCUCCCCAACAUAAACUGCCAUGCAUCCCUUAGGGACAUUUGUACUACGAUCAAGAUUUGUUGAGGAGAAUUGGCGGUUAAGCAUUUGCUUGAGACUAGUGAUACGAGGAACAUGGAUACCCAUGAAUUUGACAAAAAAAAUGAAAUUUUCCGGGUAAACUUUGGGGAUAUGAAAAUACAAGGACUUCUGCAGAUUGAUCAAAUGGUUUUGACACUAGAUUACACUCAAGUUUAUAAUGACUUUGGUUAAGUUUCCAAUGGUGUUUAUAUAGAACUGAUUGAAUGUAUUGGCCGUUGAUCAAAAUGCAGAUUGAGUGGCACAGAUGCAUUAGGCAUCAGCACAUGCUAUUCUCUUUCACUGGCCACAUAUGUUUAAGACUAAUGUUAGGAAUUAUAUGUCUGUUAAGAGACAUCAUGUCCUACAAUUUGUUUUGAACAAAUCUCAACCUGAUAUUUAUGCUUUAUGAUAUGAGAGUUCAUACAUAUAAUAUGCAGUGAGACGAACCACAUGCAUCUAAAAGCUGGAAACUUCAAAUGUCAUGUUAUUAGUUCUUGUGGACAAACUAAUAACAUAAAAUCCAUAUCCUGCCUGCCCUAUAGAUCUUUGGUGGAAUCUUUAGUUAUGGAGUAGUUAUAUCUGCAGCCCACAUAUGUCUUUCUUUUAGUUUGAUUUUUUUAGUUCACACAUAUGACAACCGUAGGAAAUCGUCUGUUCUUCAUCAAUUGUAUACCAGGUCAUCAAGAUCUGACAUUGGUUCGAACUUGUUAAGCAGGCAUAGUCGGACAUGAUGUUUCCCACCACACUUAUACAUCAUGUUAUAAGUCAUAAAUACAGGUAGCUACUGAAAGACAAAAUCUUGUGUUAGUGUCUAAUGCCUACUCACUACCCAAUCUGCAAUAUAAAGAGAUGUUUUAUACAACUUUUUUCUUGCUCUAUAUAAGAACUUAACUAAGCGUUACCAAAACUCAUCACAAACUCUCUUGUCUAAAGCCUGAACUACAAAAAAAUUAAACAGGUCCUGGUGUUUAAUUUCUCAGUUUCUCUGAACUCUUAUCUGAAAGAUCUAUAGCAUAAUACCACCUCCGAUCUCAUUUGAUGAGCUUCUGAGUGUACAUUGUAGAACAGAGAUCAUCUUCCCAUACAAACUUUGUAGGGAGCCUAUAAUUUGAUACUCAAUUAAUUUAGCACGACCACCAACUUCCUUAAGAUGGACUUUGUUCCUUAAACAAAUAACCAACAUAUGGGGUGUCAAGAUGUAAAGAGUGCAGGAAGUUUAUACAAAGCUACAAACAUCAUUGGGUGCAGGUAGCUCCGAAUUCCCUUUUCGCACUCCCGUGUUAGAUGUUCAUACCUGUCAUUUAUCAACAAGAUCACAUCGCUCAACAGAAGUGUAAGUUGAAAGAAAAGGUAACCAAAAGACUUUCUUUCUACCCAAAUGUAACCCUGUACAACCUCUAAAGCUUGCCAGUGUUCAUCAGGGUUAAAGUAAUACUCUUGACAUUCAUUGAUUUGAUAAUCGAUAUGACUUCGUGAGCACUGGGCUUUAAUGGAUCAGAUAUGACAAUAACUCUAGUCAACUGCCCAUCUAUUGACACAAGAAUCCCAUUUUGAGCCAUUCCUUCAGCUUCUGCAAGCAUUUCCUCUGCAUCAAUUGGAAUACUAAUGGUGAGAUCCAACAUCAGGCUCUUGUUUCCACAUUUAUCUCUUUAUUAUGAACAACAGCUUUCAAACCAUGUCCAGUAAUAGAUUCAAGUCUCGAGCCUCGGGCUAGACGGGAUUUUCCACAUCCUCUCUGAAUUUCUUAGCAUACUCUACAAUCGCCUUGGCUGCUUGGCCAAAGGAUGCUCUGUAUUUACCUGAUACAAGUUCAUCAAAGAAGUACUUAUGAAUUAUGAUACAAGUUUUUUUAACAGAUGACAUCCAUAUCACAUUACCUAAUGCAGUUUGAUUUAUCGACUCAUAAUCUACAAUUCUGUUGAAUACAGUAAUUUUUGUAUAAACUCUUAGACUGAAGGCACAAAAAUGUAAGCCCUUAAACCAAGAAUUUACCUCAGCUGCAGCAACCAACUCGUAAAAUUCAGUAAGUACCAUAUUUCCUAGAAGUUUCGUGUCAACUACAUGUGGCUUGCCCAUUGUGAGAGUCCCAGUCUUGUCGAAGACAAUGCAGUUCACCUGAAUGAUGAUGGAAAGUGUCAACUAGUUUUGUAAAACACUGAAUAACUUUUCUUGAGUGCAUCACACUUAUAAAGUUCGAAUGAAGUAUUUGAAGUAAGAAAAUAUGAUUUUUUUUUUAUUGUUGAUAUACUUUUUUUUUACAUUUAAUCAUAAAAUUCAGCAUGAACAACAUUGGUGUGCUUUGAACCUUUCUGGGGCCUGGCAACCUUUGAUCAGAAUUCACCUGUCUAAUACCAUAAACGCAUUAAAGGCUGCCUUUUUUUAAAAGAACAGCCGAUAUUUGUAGUUCUUUUUUCUUCUGUUUCUCCUUUGCAUCAUUCAGCGAGAUUUUACAUUCAUUGAACAGAACAUCUUUUCUCUGUCGUCUGCUUGGGAGCACUAAACUUUCACUUUUAAUUGGGAGCCUUAAACUAUUACUUCUGAUCGGGAGUACAGAACCUUCAGAACCAUUCUGCUUUUUCUUAAAAAGCAUUCCAAAAAUAUUCUUCUUUAUGCUUUUAAGCAUUAUGUUUGGGUUUUUCUUGAAAAGACUUCCAAAAACAUUGUUCUCCAUGCUUUUAACAAAAGAAUUUUCAUAAGACUGAUCGGCCUCCAUAUUUUCAAGGACAACUUUUAUUUGUACCUAUAAAUAAUAGAUGGGUAAAGACAUAGCUGUACAAUUUGUACGAAUCUCCUUUAUUAUAUCUUUGUACCCAUUUUCCACAGCUAUGAAAAUUGGAGUUUUGCCUUCACUGUUUGGAACAUGACUAACAUUUGGAUCGGCCUCUACUAAGAGCUUCACUAUUGCCACAUAACCACUUAGAACUGCUAGAUGUAAUGUGGUGUUUCUUUCUUGAACAUUAGCUUGCCUAAUAAAAUUGUGAAAAUCACUGACUGGAUUAUUACGUCUGGCUGCUCCAAUGAGGACCUCAACCACUUGAGUGUGUCCCUGAAGUGAUGCAAGGUGAAGUGCAGUUUGUUCUGUUCUGUCCAGCUUGCCCAAAAAUUCCAUGGAACAUUAUCUUCAAAUUUUGUGAAACGCGUUAGAACUAGAGAGCCAACUUGGCCAACAUGGAUGCAUAAUGCAUGCAUCUGAUCUCAGUCCCUGCAUAAAUAUGAACACUGUUAUAUUUUACAUAAAGAAAAACAUCUGCUCUUGCUACUUGCCUCUUCAUCUGUUUCGUUGAAAAAUAAGCACUUGUAGUUGGUUAUUGUGCGCAAAAUUCAACAUCAUUCCAAAGAAUUGUAUUGAUUUGUAUUGUGACUUUGUGCGAGGCCUAUAUAGUUGACUUCCCUCGUCAACUUCUUUGGAAGGUAACUAACUUUAUCUUUUGCUAAGCAACUACUUGGAAGGUACCUAAUUUCACUUCCAAGUUCCUAUCAUUUUAUAUUAAUCUGCCAAUCUUGUGUUAGAAAUACAUCUUCUCAAUAAUGUCUAAAGUAUAGAUUAACUGACAAUGUUUUGAUUAGUUGCAGGUUUCUAUCCCUCAUACUAAUUUAAUUUUUGACCAGCUAAUUCACCGUAGCUCAGAAUGCCUCGUUUUGUCAGGUCUUCUUGAGUUUCAGAGGGGAAACCCGUAACAAGUUCACAUGCUUCUUGUACGAGGCACUGAAAGCCGAAGGAUUUACAACUUUCAUGGACAGAACUGCCAUACGUGUUGGAGAUGAAGUAGAUUCAACAAUCAAAGAAGGGAUCAGAAACUCUAUGAGCGCCAUAAUUAUAUUAUCCCAAAAUUAUGCCUAUUCUACUUGGUGUCUUGAUGAACUUGUUCUUAUCCUUGAACGCAAAAAGAACUCGAGGUACUUUAUUAUACCAAUUUUUUAUGAGGUCGAAAUUCGAGAUAUUAAACACCAGCUCGGAAAUUAUGGCCUUGCGCUUGAAAAGCAUAGGGCUAGGCACAAUGACAAGGUAGAAAAGUGGAAAGAAGCUCUUGCAGAAGUUGGUAAUAUUCUUGGACAGCAUGUAAAAGGGUAAUUUUUCUUCCUUUUCUUCACUGUAAUUCUUGGUUUGGAGCGCAAAUAUGCACCUGAGUUUGAAUGAUAAUAUGUUUCUUUUAUCACUUUCAGGCUGCAGAGCACCUUUAUCCAAAACAUUGUAAAAUUGUUUCGAGAGAAAUUGGCUGCCAAGUUCCCAGAAUGCCGCCUUCCUACACUAGAAGGUCCAGGUUCACAAGGCAGUUCUUCAUCGUCAAUGUUGAGACCUAAGCCAUCCAACUACAAGGUGAUUCUUUACACAAUUAGUGUUAAUAAUGGCCUAGGUGCAAAUGGGUUGGUAAAGAAACUUCUGAUGAGUGGGAAUGUUAUAUUUGAGGAGAGAAAUUGUUCAACAGAAUCAGAGUAUAUGAGAGAGCUAGAAGAGCUGGUCGGUAAUGAGUAAUGACAGGGUAAGGUUCCCUAUGGUGAUUGUGAAUGGGAAGGACUUGUGCGGAGAAGAAGAGGUGGAGGGGUUAGAUGAUUUCGAGAACAAGCAAAAGCUUAUAUCAGUACUGAAUCAUCUCUAUGUUUCUGCAAAAACAAUAGAAAACCUUCAUGACAUGUUUAGUAGGAGUUUAACAUUUCAAAGUAGUAUUCAGGACCAGUGGAUCAAUAGGAGAUACUCUUAGUGGUUGUGCUACUUCUUUUCCUGCUCUUUACCAUGUUUCUUUUAAUAUAAAUGUAACUAGCUCUCAUUCUUUGACUCUUCAUCUUAUUUAGUUUUGUGUAUGUCGUUAGGCUUUUGUCCUUUUAGGACUUGCUAGGCGAGCCUAACUUCCUAACUCUGACUCUGCCUUUGAUACUACUUGUCGGGCUUGCUAGGCGAGCCUAACACGACAAUAGUGACAAUAUUAUCUAUUUUGGGCCGAGCCGGCACAGCUUUGUUUUUGGGACCAUCUAAACAGGCAUCAUUUUAUUCGGAGUUGUUCUCGCUGCUUAUAUUCUAGCUUUAUGCCUCUUCACUGCCGAUCUAGGAUAAUUCCUAACAAUAGAAAUAUCCCUCCUGCAGAUGAGCUAAACUAAGAAUAUUAUCAAUCUCCGCAGAUCAUGUUUAUGCCUGAAAAGAAAGUUCUUUACUGCUAGUGAAUUGUAUUAUUAAUUCAAUGUUAUUAGUCCCCAAAUAAUAUUUCGUGCCUCUCUUGAAACAUAUAAUUUCCAGGCAUCCCUAUCAACUUUUUGAUCUUGUCUCUUGCAAUCUUUUCACUGCUUUGCCUAUCCCUCCUUUAGUAAUUCCAGACUUCUGUUCUGUCUCCUUACUUGACUCGAAUCCAUUUAUUAUAAAUUUUCACCAAACAUAUGGCACCACAAUUUAUUCGUUAUACCAUAUUUGUGUUUGAAAAUGUGGAUAACAAAGCCGCACAUUGUCAAGUCAUUUUGAGCAUAAAAUUGAGUGAGUCGUGAUAUAUAGCGUGUUCAUAACGAGUCAAGUUUGGAUUGUGUUUUCAAUUGAGCUCGCGGAUACAUACUUAACUGUGAACAAAAAAAAGUGGAAUAUCAAGGUGUUUGAAGAGAUAAAUUCAUUGGUCACUGAAUUGUCAUAAUACAGAGAAAAAAUUAUCUGCAUAUCUUUAUGAACAUUAAGAGCAAAGAUAUAAACAGUUAAUGUUAGUAGUUUUGACACUAAUCCAUAGCUUCAAAACACCUCCUUUGUCCAUGGCGACCCAUCAUGCAAACUUCGUGCUAUGGUCCUAAAACUAACCAAAGCAGCAACUGAUCCUCAAGCAGCUGCCCAUAACAGUUCCUACGGUCCAUCCAUUCCUCGAGAAAUGUUUAACAUAUUAAAUUACUUGUACACAAGUUUAAUCGCAGAACCAAACUCCAUUGGGCAUUAGGCUUCUCAAUUUUAGGCAACGAGUAUGAGCUGCAAUUAACAGAAAUGUUUAACAUAUUAAAGUUGUUGAAGAAGUUCAUGGAAAUGACAUAUAUACAAUUCUAGUAAAGCAUUCUUAUAUUCUAGGUAACUUACAUAUACGCUCAUGCUGGUUACACUUAGAGAUCACUUUGGUUAAAGCCUUCCGUGUCUCUUUUCAUUUGGCCCCUUUCCACAAAUCAUGCAACGCCAUGAUGAAUUGAUUGGCGAUGAUGAUGAGUAUGAUGAACUUUAUGGUGAUCUUAAUAUUGGAGAGGGUUUUCUUCAGCCUCAUCCGUCUGAGGCGCCUGGUCCAAAUUUUAGCAGGAUGGACACGCUACAAGAAAAAAGCUAACAGACAUCAGAUUUUGGCCGACGUCUUUCCUUUUUUCGACCGAUAUUGAUGUCGGUGAUGUUUAUACUAGACAUCAGUCGAUAACCGAUGUUUAAACCUAACUUACACAUCAUUUUUUUACUGAUGUGUUAGUUAGGGUCUGCCAGUGUAAUGUUUAUUUGUAGUUAUAUUAUAAUAUAUUUUAAUGAAAACAUGUGGCUUAAAAAUGAAUCGGUGAAAUAAAAAAAAUUGAUAAAACAUUAAUGCUUAAAUAAAAUAUACUCCCUCUGCCCUGUUGACCUGUAUACAGUUUCUAUUUUGGGACGUCCCAUCAAUUGUAUACAUACCAAAAAUAGUAAGUUUUAUAAUAUAAGAACUUAACUACACCCACUUUGUACCUUAAAUAUUAGUAGGUCCCACCACCUUACUCACACUACACUAAUUUUACACAUUAAAUAUUACUCGGUCCCACCACUUCACCCAAUUUUCUUACUUUUCUUCACUGAAUUUCACUUUUUCUUAACCUCCGUGCCACUCUUCGUAUGUAUACUACUCAAUGGGACGGAGGGAGUAUAUUUCUUUACCAAUUAAAAACAUAAUUAUUUCCGAUAUAAAUUCAUUGAUUUAAAUUUUAUGAUAAAAUUUGUAACAAGUUAAUUUACUAAAUUUGAAAUGAAUAACUAGUACAAAACAUUAGCUACCAUAAAAGAUAUUACCGUACAUGUCUCAAGGACGCGGAUUUCAAGGCGCACCGGAGCAUUUUCUUCAUUAUUUCGGAUAAUUCUUCCCACAAAUACUGAAAUAAGAUGAACAUCACAUUAUUUUUGCAAUAUAAAAUUUUAAGAACUAAUUUUAAAAUACAAAGAUACCAUAUAUGAUUCUAAGAAAAGAAUUAUAUUAAAAGAUUAAAGAUGAUUAAAGUGUGUCACAUUGGGCUUUCAUGUAAUUACAUUCAUCAUGAUCAAUUUACACUUUAUCGAAAACUUUAUAUCUUAGAUCAGAUCUCAAAGAUCGGAACUCGAUCAAAAAUCAAUUAAAUCCAACAUUCAAUUAAAUCCAAAUAUGUACAAACAGUAAUAAAUCCAAAAUAAGACGUAAAUAUAUGACAAUGGCUUACCGAUUAUGCAUGAAUUGGACACAAAUCAUCAUACACAUGAUAUAUCGAAAAAUAUCAUAACAAUGAUUGAUGUGGAUGGUGGUGAUAUAAUUUUUACACGAAAAAGAUGAUAAGUUAAAGAAGAGAAGCGGGUGUGAAAGGUAAAUUAGGAAGGAGAGGCUGACGCGGAAGGUAAGGUAGAGUUUCAAGCGGAGAUAACAAGGAGAUGAAGGGAUGAUUGUAUCAAACUAAGAAUGUAGGAUAGAUUUUUGUUAUAAAGAGAUGUUAUGCCCAAACUUCUCAUGGGCCCGGGAAGACCCACAAUUGAAGGACCAUCGGGAUGGGCUCAUUCAGUGGAUAUCACAAGUCGCUUCGGUUCACAGUUAUGUUAGACCGCCCUACAUAGCAUAGAAGGGCUUGCUAAUAAAAGAAAUUAUCUAGCCUUCCCAAGGAGCCAGGCUGCUAGAAUGAUGUGGCCUCUAGGGGUCGCUACCAUUGGGCUUGCUAACCUAGGCCUUGUUGACGGCAUUCCAUAGUGGGCUCGUUGGGAGGGCCUUGCUUCCUCACUUCAAGAUGACCCUGGCUGGAGAAGUAUGUUUUAGAGCAUGUUUGUCCCGGUUUAAAGUCGGGACUUAAAGUUGUUUCCAACCUUUAGCUGAAAAACGUCGGUCUGUGUAAUAUGUCCACAAGUUAGUUUGAGGUACUUUUUCGGUGAGUUGAUUUUUUAAACUUUUUUUGUUAAAAAAGUACUCAUAAGUCAUAAAUUACCUAUAAAUCACUUUUAUAUCUAUUAUUAUAUUUUUAAUAACGAAUAAGUCCUUAAUAAGUCAAAAUUACUCAAACAGAUAUUUUAAGCUCCAGCUUAUCUCAUAAGUCAUCUUAAGUCAUAAGUCACGUUAAGUAAUAAGUCAUAAACUCCGGCAAACGGGCUCUUAUACAUAAAGCUAGGAAAUUAUGGAUUCACACUAGAAAAGAAUAAAGCGAGGCACAAGGACAAGUGGAUAAAUGAAGAGAAGCCCUUGCACAAGAGCCCAUUUUGCUGAGCUUAUAUAUGAUUUAUGAUUUUACGUGACUUGUGACUUAACAUGACUUAUGUGAUAAGCUGAGAGUUUAAAAUGUCUGUUUGGGUAAUUUUGACUUAUUAAUGAUUUAAAAGUUAAUAAAAAUAUAUAAACAAAAAUAAAAUUGAUUUAUGGGUGACUUAUGACUUAGAGAUAAUUUUUAUGAAAAAAAUUCAAAAAAAUUUAAGUCACUACUGAAAAAAAAAUACCUCAAACUAACUUCUGGGUUUAAGUCAGCUUGUGUCUUAUUUCUGACUUUAAACCGACUUCUGACUUAUUAUUACACAGACAGACAUUUUUCAGCUUAAAAUUGAAUACAUAUUUAUCGACUCGUAAUCUACAAUUCUGUUGAAUACAGUAAUUUUUGUAUAAACUCUUAGACCGAAGGCACAAAAAUGUAAGCCCUUAAACCAAGAAUUUACCUCUCCUAAAGGCUACUACAUAUAUUCUUGGAUCUCCUCACUCCUUAAGAGGAUGAGCGAGGAAUGAAGACUUAUGACCAGUCUCGGUUAGGGGUGACCAAAAUACGGAAACUACAUUGAAAAACCAAACCGAAUCAUGCAAAUUCGGUUCGGUUUCGAAUGAAUCGAAAUAAAAUUCGGCUUGGUCCGGUUCUUAAAAAAAUAUUUCGGUCCGGACCGAAUAGAUCAAAUAGCCCAAACAUUAUAUGAUAUUAAUUUAUAUUUAUAUUAUAUAUAUUAUAUAUAUAGUAAAAGUUAUAAUUAUAUUAUUUAACUUUUAAAUGUAAUAAUAUCUAUUUUUGGUGAAAUGGUGGUGAUUAAUUAAUCUUAAAGUAUUUAAUAAAUCAUAUAUUUUAGCUUUAUUUAUAAUAUAAAUUUUUAUUUUUAAAAAUAAUUUAACCGACCUCAUACUCACUCUCAAACGAUUUUUUUUAGCAAUAUAACCCCUAAAGUUUAAAAAGCGCUUCGAUUUGCACCCCUUUGAUCAUAUUCCGUCAAAUUGAUUAUUAAAAGCGCUUCGAUUUGCACCCCAGAAUUGCCUAAAACCUCUAACUUCUAGAUAUGACCAUAGUCUUAAAAACCAACUUGACAAAUGAGCUAGGAACACUUCUAGACCAGUAAAAACUAGAAAGUCUUUGUAUAAUCAUAUGUCACAAUUGUGAAGUAUGAUUUGAGCCUUAAAGAUGUCAAUUGUAUAGUAAUUUAAUAACAACACGAUUCUUCCAUUACACUCUGCAUUUAUGUCAACUUAAUUUAGAAGUGUACAGCUAUAUUCUCCUAAGUUAGACAGGCAACGCAGGAAAUUUCGUGUUUUUAGUUUGGUGCUCAUCUGAUAGUUUUUCUUCAAAAUUGCUUGGUGUAUUUAUGUAGUAGAAAACACGAGCUGAUAUAAGCUGUCAUAUCUAUGAAUCCACAGUAAGGGUACAAUUCCUCUUUUAAUUUGAUCUCUAUAACUUUCUUAUUGCUCUGUAUAAACAUAUAAUCAGGCCUUGGAAAAAUUCAUCACAAACUCACUUGUCCAAAAGCAUUAUCCAUAAUUAUAUACAAAGUCCUAGUGUUUUCUCAGUUUCCCUGAACUCUCAUCUGAAAGAUCUAGAGCAUCAUGGGUAUCCGUAUGCCUCGUAUUACUAAAUUCGUAGAAAGCAGGGAUACUUCAUCUGGGUGAAGAACUGCGUAGGGGAUACUCGGGGGUGCAGCGGGAUACGCACGGGAUACGCCACGUGGCGUAUCGGUGGAGGCAGUGAUGGGGAUACGCGGGGUGCGGGGAUGGGGGUGCGAGAGUGGCACAAAUCGUAAUUUUUUACAACUUUUUUUUCAAAAAAAAAAACUUAAAAUUAGUUGGUCAAAAUCAUGGAAGCCAUGAUUAUGCUCGAUUGAUUCACCUAAAUUGCAAUAGUUAUUUAUGUAUUUUAAUUGUCAAGACUUAAGAACGAUUAAUUUAGUUAUUCCACUAUUUUGUUCUACUUAAAUGCAUCUUAUGAAUUAUUUAUAUAUAUAUUAUUAUUUAAUAUUUUAAUAUUUGCCGUAUCCACCGCACCCGUAUCCCCAUAUUUUGGAAUUUGACGAAUUCCCGUAUCCACGUACCGCGCACCCGCACUCCCGCACCCGCACUCAUGCUUCCUAGCUAAACUCAAACAAAUCCUUAAUUCACAGGUCAUCGUACUUAUUAAAUCCUGAUCUUGCGUCAGCAAUUCCAAAGGGGUGCUUGGCAGUUUAUAUUGGGGAGAGCCGGAGAGGCAAAGAAGCCGAUUUGUGGUACCCAUUUCAAUCCUGAAUGAGCCUGCCUUUCAAGGUUUAUUAAGUCAAGCCGAGGAAGAAUUUGGAUUCAAUCAUCCGGAAGGAGGUCUUACGAGUCCUUGCUCAGUGGACACAUUCAUUGAUCUCACUUCGCGCCUGACAAUUUAUAAUUGAAAACAAUUUGUGUAUUUUUAGAACAGAGGUUUUUCAUAUAAGUUAUGUAGGAAUAAUUAGGAUGAGCAUAAGUUGAUACUCAAUUUUUUUAAAUGUAUUGACCAUUCAUCUCAGUUUAUGUAUAUAAAUGAGAUUAGAACCAGUCAUACAAAACACCUCCAUGAAAGACUAGUUUCAAGAAUAACUCCAUGUAGAUAUUGAUGUCCUGAAUUACAAAGUAUCAGCCAAUCCCCUGCCUAAAAGAUUUACAUGUUUACAAUUCCUCGACUAGUUCACAAAAUUGGUAUACAACUAUCUAACAACAUAAAUAUAUGUAUCUGCCUACAUAUAUAAACUCUCAUAAUCUGUUCAACAGAUCAAUGAAGUUGUCUUCCUUGCAUGGAAUUGUGAGGCCACCUUCUGGAUGACUAAACCCAAAUUCUUCCUCAGCUUGACUUAACAGGUCUUGGAACGUAGGCUCAUUUAAGUAAGAGAUCGGAACUACACAUCUUCUUCUUUGGUUCUCCCCAACAUAAACUGUCAUGCAUCCCUUGGGGACAUUUGUACCACGAUCAAGAUUUGUCAAGGAAAAUUGACGGGUGAGGAUUUGCUUGAGAUUAGUAAUACGAGGCACGCGGAUACCCAUGACAAAAGAAAUGAAGUUUCAAGGGUAAACUUUGGGGAUAUGAAAUACAAGGACUUCUGCAGAUUAAUCAAAUGACUUUGACACUAGAUUACACUCAAAUUUAUAAUGACUUUGGUUAAGUUUCUGAUGGUGUUUAUAUAGAACUGAUAGAAUGUAUUGGCGGUUGAUCAAAAUGUAGAUUGAGUGGCACAGAUGCAUUAGGCAUUAGCACAUGCUAUUCUCUUUCA
rnacentral:lncRNA from 1 species